UUUUUUUUUUUUAGUAGAGACAGGGUUUCCUCAUGUUGGCCAGGCUGGUCUUGAACUCCUGACCUCAGGUGAUCCACCUGCUUCGCCUCCCCAACUUGAUGUUUGUGUUUUGUUUGGGGGGAUAUUUUUCAUAAUUAUUUAAAAGACAGGCCGGGCGCGGUGGCUCACGUCUGUAAUCCCAGCACUUUGGGAGGCUGAGGCGGGCGGAUCACCUGAGGUUGGGAGUUCAAGACCAGCCUGGCCAACAUGGGGAAACCCCGUCUCUACUAAAAAUACAAAAAAUUAGCCGGGUGUGGUGGCGCGUGCCUAUAAUCCCAGCUACUCGGGAGGCUGAGGCAGGAGAAUCGCUUGAACCCGGGAGGUGGAGGUUGCGGUGAGCCAAGAUCGCACCAUUGCACUCCAGCCUGGGCAACAAGAGCGAAACUCUGUCUCAAAAUAAAUAAAAAAUAAAAGACAGAAAGCAAGGGGUGCCUAAAUCUAGACUUGGGGUCCACACCGGGCAGCGGGGUUGCAACCCAGCACCUGGUAGGCUCCAUUUCUUCCCAAGCCCGAGCAGAGGGUCAUGCGGGCCCCACAGGAGAAGCGGCCAGGGCCCGCGGGGGGCACCACCUGUGGACAGCCCUCCUGUCCCCAAGCUUUCAGGCAGGCACUGAAACGCACCGAACUUCCACGCUCUGCUGGUCAGUGGCGGCUGUCCCCUCCCCAGCCCAGCCGCCCAGCCACAUGUGUCUGCCUGACCCGUACACACCAGGGGUUCCGGGGUUGGGAGCUGAACCAUCCCCACCUCAGGGUUAUAUUUCCCUCUCCCCUUCCCUCCCCGCCAAGAGCUCUGCCAGGGGCGGGCAAAAAAAAAAGUAAAAAGAAAAGAAAAAAAAAAAAAAGAAACAAACCACCUCUACAUAUUAUGGAAAGAAAAUAUUUUUGUCGAUUCUUAUUCUUUUAUAAUUAUGCGUGGAAGAAGUAGACACAUUAAACGAUUCCAGUUGGAAAC
rnacentral:lncRNA from 10 species